GCCGGAUUAGCUCAGCUGGUAGAGCAGCGGUUUUGUAAACCGAAGGUCGCGGGUUCGAUCCCUGCAUCCGGCACCA
rnacentral:tRNA from 3 species